rnacentral:lncRNA from 1 species
UGGCGAAAUUGUGGACAUCACAGGAGCAACCACAGCCAUCACAGCAGCAGCCAUCAGUGCAGCCACCAUCACAGCCACCACCACAGCCAUCAACAUUGCCACAGGCACAGGUGUGGCCAGGGCCACAGCCACCACAACCACAGCCACCACCUCAGCCAACACAACCAAGUGCUCAAGCCCGUUGUACUCAGCACACCUCCAAAUGCAAUCUCCAGGAUUCCCAAAGGCCAGGUCACCAGCCUACUUCAGCGGGGAUCUACUAAGCUGGAGGGCAAUCUCUGUAUCAACAACAGAUUCCAGGAUAUACUGAGCCCCGUGAGGUCUGGAACAGGGAACCACAGCACAGCUUCCUAGUUGAGAAUCUUCAGGAAGGGCUCAGUCUGUGCCCUGUCCCAGGUCUCAUGAACCCAUGCCAAUCUAGCCCCAUCAGAAACACUGGGUAUUCACAACUCAAGUCUACCAAUUACAUACAGCAGUGGUGAUCCAGAGAUUGAACCCAGGACCCCAUGGCCAUCCCCAAAAUGCAGAUGAGCAACCACAUCUUCUCAGCAUCCAGCAAUAUCUCCACUCCAAAAGCCACCCACUCUAGAAGAGGAGGCUGCCAGGAAUAAAAUGUAAUUUUUUUCCUGG